CAGGGAGCUGCCGGACCGCAUGUGGGGCCCAGAGGAGGCAAGCAUGGGCGCCGCGCCAUGGAGAGGAUUGCACGUCCCGGGGGGCAGCGCGGGCUGACUCGGGGCAGAGGACUCUCGCACGCCCCAGAAAGCUCGGGAAAAAUCCAUGGCCUGAAAAACCAAUUCAAGUUUCACGACCUGCCAGGGUGCCGGCCGAGCCUGCCCGACAGAGGGAGCAGGCAGCCCUGGAAAUGGGGGUGCAGGAGCAGGCAGAGAGGCGGGUCACAUGCCGGCACCGUGGGGCCAAGCUGCUGCAGAGGGGUUCCCGGGGACGUCCGGAAGCGAAACCCUGAGAAAGGAGGCUCACACUGUGCCCCAGAUUGGCUUCCCGAGCAACCUCCCUUCUCCGGGCCUCAGUUUCCCCUUCUGCAACACAGCGAUCACCCCCGAGCAACUCUGGCUUGGUGUGGUAGGAACUGGGCACCACCAGCUGUGCACACUGUGAAGUAGGGGGAGGGGGGUCUGCGGGCGUCGCCCGCCGUAACCGUGACGACGACGGCUGUGAAAGGCGCCGGCUGUUCCUGGACCGGCGCAGUGUGUUUGCGGCUGUUGUGUGACACCCACACCCCACCAGACUUGUUUUCAAACGGCGUUUUGCUAGCCAGGCCGAACGCGGCUGCGUUCCUGCGAGCGUGCCAGCCUCUCCCUUCUCCCUGCCAACCUCGGGGGUGGCGCUGUGGCUUCCAAAAUCUCAUUACCGCCACCAUUUCCCGUCCUCCGCCGCUCCCUCCUCUCCUGCCCUCUCUCCCCCACUCUCUCUCCUUUCGGAGGAUAAAUUUCUGUAGCAGCCAAUUACAGCCGUUUGAUGUGCGUAAUGAUGGAACCGUGGAAAUUGGAACUGGCACCUCGGAGGACAGCGGAGGGGGAAGAAACGCAACGUACAUGAAUCAAGCGUUUUCUUGGAGUUUUCUCCCAUUGCCAACGAUUUGCUGGGGCCCGGACUCAAAGCUCGGGCCGCGGGCGGCGGGGGGCGCGGUGGGGCUGGGAGCUCUGGGCCAGCCGCGCCUGCUCCUAAGCACCGAUCAAUUACGGCGCAGACAAGCCGGUGUCACAUGUGAUUCACAAUGUCAAUUUCAUGCUCGUGGUAACCAUUUAAGAAAGAGCCGGGCCGGUUUUACAUUUGAUAAGAAAUCAGCAGCGUUUGUGUUUGUAAAAAGACCGAU
rnacentral:lncRNA from 10 species